ACCGGCUACCUCGAGAAGGGAAAGCUUUCCGAAAUUGAGGGCAUGAAGACCAAGGUGCUUGUAUGGACCAAGGUGACCUCCAUCAAGACCGAGGGCUCAAAGGUCCAUUUCACUGCGGGCAUGAAGAAGACCCGCAGCCGCGAUGCGUAUGAGGUUGUCAGAGAUGGCAUCAUCAUAGACAAGUUCUAGAGCAUACCUGUACCUGGGCUGACAGGUGCAAUGUAAUUACUUAGAUAUGCUACAUUGAAAUCUGUUGUGCUAUCGGAUCGGCCUAACCAACUGUGUUGCUGAAAACUUCCAUCCAUGACUUUUUCUAUAUCUUGACAAUCUGUGCUUGUUUUGCUGUCAUCCUGAUUCUUCCACCAGACCAGAAAGGGUGACCGGACCAGGGCGCCAUGUUGUAUCCAGUUUUUAGUUUUGAAUUCCUCUUGAUCUUUGGGUGUGAUGUGGCCUGUAAACGCCAUCAAGUUUGGAUGCAGGUGGCAAUGCAGGAAAUGGGGAGAAAAAUAGAUUAUGGGUGUGAUUUUUUGCUUGUUUUCUGGCGGAGGGCUUCAUCGGCCUCAAACAGUGCUUGUGCUUUAGUCUGUACUCUACUCCCUCCGUCCCAUAAUAUAAGAGCUACUAGUGUAAAAAACGCUCUUAUAUUAUGGGACGGAGGGAGUACACUUUUGCUUGUUAUCUGAUUGAUUGAUGCUUUGCACAACACAUUGUACCCUUGUCCGUUUUGUUUGUUGCUUUUUGGCCCGGUAGAUGACUUUGUUAAUUCAAAGUUGGUUGUUGGUCGUUGUAAUUUUAUUUUGGGCGGUACAUGACUUUAUUCAUUCAAAGGUGGAUCUUGAGCCUUAGUUCUAGUAGAAAAUAAAACAAACAAAUGCAUAUUACAACAGAUAAUCAACGCAGAACACUAUGAACUGCCUAAACCUAGAGCUUGCAAACAGGAAAUUGCCGAAAUGCACACCGACGCACAACCAUUAUGAUUUGCAUAUUGGAUAUUUGCAAAGCUUAGAAAAACACUCCCCUCUCUUUUCGCCGCCUCCUGCUACCCACCCAUCACCUAUACCGAUGCUAGAUCGAGGCCGCCGCUUCUCUUUCUCCCAAGUGAUAGGAACAGAGAUCAACUUGAGCGCAAACAAACAAGAUAAUCAAGAGAACAGGGGAAGCAGAGGAGUGAUUGGGUUUCAGAUAGCCCGAAUCAUGUCGCACAUACAAGUUCUCUUGGACCGAUCUAAUCUACCAAGUAGCUAGGGUUCCAGAGCUAGUUACAAUACUCGAAGAAAAAGAUGAUGCCCGAUCCGAUGCGAGAGCUACUUAAGGGCAGGCAAUGACCGACGGUAAAGGUGACGGCAGUUAACUGAAGCGCAGUGAACAGGCUUCAGCUAACUGUUAAAUUUGUCGGACGGUAAACAGAGGAGCUGAGCGGCGACGUGAGCCGUUGAUCUGGCGAGCUUCAAUUGUGGCCGUCCAUCGAAUCGUUCUCUUCCCUGCGCCGUUUCUUCAGUCCGUGUCGCUGUCGAUUUCUUCAGUUAUCUUCAGGUUCAGAUUAGUAGAAGGGUCGUGAGUCUGACACCGAGUCCAUCUCGAUCGACCGUCUCCUGGUCUAGACUCUCGUUCACUCCCCAUGGCCGGAGAAGACCCACUCCGCCGGGACACCGGACUCCUCCCUUUCAACUCGGACUAUACAACUCCGACACCAACCCCCUACUCGAGGAACACGGAGGAAGAUGCUAUAAAGGCCUGCCGAUCCCCUCAACUUCCUCCUCACAUCGCACCACGAGAUCAAGGAUCCAAGGAUCGUUUACCCACUUUCCAAGGAAAACAAUCGAAUCGAGACAAACUCGCGUCUCAUCCCAUGGCGAGCCAGGGCGACGCGAGCGGGAAGAAGGACUACUCCACGGCGAUCCUGGAGAGGAAGAAGUCGCCGAACCGGCUGGUGGUCGACGAGGCGACCAACGACGAGAACUCCACCGUCGCCCUGCACCCGAACACCAUGGACAGCCUCGAGCUCUUCCACGGCGACAUCGUCCUGCUCAAGGGCAAGAAGCGAAAGGACACGGUCUGCAUUCUACUCCCAGACGACACGUGCGACAAGACCAAGGUCCGGAUGAACAAGGUCGUCCGGAAGAACCUGAGGGUCCGGCUCGGCGACGUCGUCUCCGUCCAUCAGUGCCCGGACGUCAAAUACGGGAAGCGCGUCCACGUACUCCCCGUCGACGACAUCGUCCAAGGGAUCGCCGGAAACCUGUUCGACGCCUUCCUGAGACCCUACUUCCUCGAGGCCUAUCGUCCCCUCAGGAAAGGAGACCUGUUCCUGGUGAGAGGCGGCAUGACGAGCGUGGAGUUCAAGGUUGUGGAGACCGACCCCGCGGAGUACUGCAUCGUCGCGUCUGACACGGAGAUAUUCUGUGACGGCGAGCCUGUCAAGCGGGAGGAUGAGGAGAGACUCGACGACGUAGGCUACGACGAUGUCGGUGGGGUCAGGAAGCAGAUGGCCCAGAUCAGAGAGCUGGUUGAGCUCCCACUGCGCCACCCCCAGCUGUUCAAGUGCAUCGGUGUGAAGCCUCCAAAGGGCAUCUUGCUGUAUGGGCCACCUGGGACCGGCAAGACCCUCAUUGCUAGAGCUGUGGCCAAUGAAACAGGGGCCUUCUUCUUCCUGAUCAAUGGCCCGGAGAUCAUGUCGAAGAUGGCCGGAGAGAGCGAGAGCAACCUCAGGAAGGCGUUUGAAGAGGCCGAGAAGAAUGCUCCGGCCAUCAUCUUCAUCGAUGAGAUCGAUUCCAUAGCACCAAAGAGAGACAAGACCAACGGAGAAGUCGAAAGGCGUAUCGUCUCACAGCUGCUCACUCUCAUGGAUGGGCUUAAGUCCCGUGCACAUGUUAUUGUCAUGGGCGCUACCAACCGCCCGAAUAGCAUCGACCCUGCUCUCAGAAGGUUUGGCAGGUUUGACCGGGAGAUCGACAUCGGAGUCCCCGAUGAAGUUGGGCGGCUUGAGGUUCUCCGGAUUCACACCAAAAACAUGAAGCUAGCUGAAGAUGUUGAACUGGAGCAUGUCUCAAGGGACACUCAUGGGUAUGUCGGCGCUGAUCUCGCCGCCCUUUGUACCGAGGCUGCUCUCCAGUGCAUUCGCGAGAAGAUGGAUGUUAUCGACCUCGAGGAUGACACCAUUGAUGCUGAGAUACUAAAUUCUAUGGCUGUCACGAAUGACCAUUUCAAGAUUGCACUGGGGACAAGCAACCCUUCCGCUCUUCGUCAAACUGUCGUGGAAGUUCCAAAUGUCUCUUGGGAAGACGUUGGUGGUCUGGAGGGUGUCAAAAGGGAGCUGCAGGAGACCGUCCAGUAUCCGGUGGAAUACCCAGAGAAGUUUGAGAAGUUUGGCAUGUCUCCCUCCAAAGGUGUUCUGUUCUACGGCCCUCCGGGCUGCGGCAAGACCUUGUUGGCCAAGGCGAUUGCUAACGAGUGCCAGGCUAACUUCAUCAGCAUCAAAGGACCGGAGCUGCUUACCAUGUGGUUUGGUGAGAGCGAGGCCAAUGUGCGCGAGAUUUUCGACAAGGCCAGGGGGUCGGCACCAUGUGUCCUCUUCUUCGAUGAGCUCGACUCGAUUGCCACGCAGAGAGGAAACAGUGUAGGCGAUGCCGGAGGUGCCGCUGAUAGGGUGCUGAAUCAGCUUCUCACCGAGAUGGACGGAAUGAAUGCCAAGAAAACCGUGUUCAUCAUCGGUGCCACCAACAGGCCAGACAUCAUAGACCCUGCCUUGCUGAGGCCUGGGCGCCUUGAUCAGCUUAUCUACAUUCCUCUGCCCGACAUUGAAUCCAGGCUCCAGAUCUUCAGGGCCUGCCUCAGGAAGUCUCCUGUGGCCAAGGAUGUCGACCUGAAUGCGCUCGCCAAAUACACACAAGGGUUCAGCGGCGCGGACAUCACGGAAAUCUGCCAGCGUGCGUGCAAAUAUGCCAUCAGAGAAAACAUUGAGAAGGACAUGGAAAAGGAGAGGCGGCUGAAGGAAAACCCUGAAGCCAUGGAGGAAGACGAGAUGGAUGAGAUCAAGGCUGCUCACUUCGAGGAGAGCAUGAGGUAUGCACGCCGGAGUGUGAGCGAUGCUGAUAUUCGCAAAUACCAGGCCUUUGCUCAGACGCUGCAGCAGUCCCGUGGUUUUGGCAGCGAGUUCCGGUUCCCUGACCAGCCGGCGGCGGGUGCUACAGCUGCGGCCAAUCCUUUCGCGGCCGCUGCCACGGCAGCUGAAGAAGAUGAUUUGUACAGUUAAAUCGUGUGUUGUCUCUUGAAGAUCAUGUAACUAUAUUUUUACGUGCAGUGUUGUGAUGUGUAUAUAUGCUGAAGUUUGAAGAUUGUAUCCUCCACCUAAAAGAAAGAAAAAACCAUUUCCUCUCGUCUCCUAUUCCAGUUUGUGUGCCAAGGAUAUAUCCAUUGGCCUGUGGUAAAGUUAUGUUGUUCUGUACAUGCCCUAUCAAAGGGUAAUAGCAAUUUAGCAUUAUACGCGGUGCCAUUUUUCUCUUUGAAAUGUACUAAUUCGAUUCCUUCUCCUACCUAAUAAAUCUUCUGUCAUAUAAUGCUAAAUAAACCUUCUGUCGCACUACACAUUUUGUUGUUGCAAAUGAUUACCUCUACUGAGAAGUAAGAAAUACCCCAGCCUCUCUCGAAUGUUGGCAAAUUAGUUCAGCAUUACCUAAAAGUCUCUACAAUGCACGAGUAUCAAAUUUUUGGAUUCUCUGACAAAGUAACCGAAAUAAUUUGCAAGGCAGUAGAUUAUUCAUGUUGGUAUUAAUUAGUUAGUUAUUCACAUAAGAUCCUUUGGCAUCUGCUGUCGCGUCAGCGGAAGAAGACGAUGAUUUAUACUACAGUUGAAUUUUCUGUUGUGCCAUGAGCUUACUCUUAAGAAACACAAACCUUUGAUGUCCUACUGUCUAGUGUCCACGAGUAGAGUCCAAUCAGUGUGCCAGGUAUCGGCAUGUGGUAAUUGUUGUCCCUGUAGAUAGUACCUUUGCUGCUCCCUUAGAUGCUCAGUAUUGGCUUGUUUACUCCGAUCCAUUCACAAUCAACAUUGCUCCACCAUUUCUGAUGUGUGGGUGGGAUGACCAUGCUCUCAAGCUUUAACUUUGGAAGGACUUUUACCCCAGCUGUGAUGGAUUUUUGGUAUGAGGUAGAGCAGAUUGCCUCCAGCAUUAACAAGGUCAAGGGCAUGGCUGCCCAGAAAUAUCUGGCAAUAUACCGACAGCGGAUUUACUCAACCAUGGUUUAGCAUUAUACCUGAAAGUCUCUACAAUGCACGGAUAUCAAAUUUUCGGUUCUCCAACAAAGUAACCGAAAUAAUUUGCAAGGCAGUAGAUUAUUCAUGUUGAUAUUAAUUAGUUAUUCACUGCAAGGCUCAGACCAUGGACAAUCUGAGAAGGGGAAACAUGAAUAAAGCAGAGGAUGUUCAGAAACUGAAACUGUGCAUCUAUCACCUACAAACCUUUUCCUAUUUCUGUCGUUCUUCCGUUCCUACGUUUUUAUAUCCUCUAUUCCGAACAGGGCCUUGGAUAUGUUUUCUCUGCUAGCUUACAUUCAAAUCUGUUGUGCUAUCUGAUCGGCCUAUUAACCAACUGUGUUGCUGAUAACUCCCAUCCAUGACUUUUUCUAUAUCUCCACAAUUUGUUGCUUGUUUUGCUGUCAUCCUGAUUUUUCCUCCAGACCAGAAAGGGUGACCGGACCCGGGCCAUGUUCUAUCCAGUUUUUAGUUUGAAUUCCUCUAGAUCUUGGGUGUGAUGUGGCCUGUAAAGGUCAUCAAGUUUGGAUACAAGUGGCAAUGCAGGAAAUGGAGAGAAAAAUAGAUUAUGGGUGUGAUUUUAACUUGUUUUCUGGCGGAGGGCUUCAUCGACCUCAAGGAGUGCUUGUGCUUCAGUCUCUACAUUUUGCUUGUUAUCUGGUUGAUGCUUUGCACAACACAUUUUAUCCUUGUCCGUUUUAUUUGUUGCUUUUUAAGUCAUUGAAAUUUUAUUUUGACCGUUAGAUGACUUUGUUAAUUCAAAGUUGGAUCUUGAACCUUAGUUGUAGUAGAAUAAAAAACAAAUGCAUAUUACAACAGAUAAUCAACGCAAAAUACUAUGAACUGCCUAGAUCUAGAGCUUGCAAACAGGAAAAUGCCGAAAUGCGCACCGUCAUGCACGCACAAGCAUUAUGAUUUGCAUAUUUGCGAAGCUCGGAGCGCACUCCCUUUUCUUGGACCGAUCUAAUUCUACCAAGUAGCUAGGGUUCUAGAGCUGAUUACAAUACUUGAAGAAAAAGAUGACGCGCGAGCUACUUAAGGGCAGGAAAUGACCGACGGUAAAGGUGACGGCAGUUAAUUGAAGCACAAUGAACAAGCUCGAGUUAACUGUUAAAUUUGUCGGACGGUAAACAGGGGAUCUGAGCGUCGACGUGAGUCGUUCAUCUGGCGAGCUUCAAUCGUAGCCGUCCAUCGAAUCGUUCUCUUCCCUGUGCCAUUUCUUCAGUCCGUGUCUCACUGUCGAUUUCUCGAGUUAGCAUGAAACGGUAUUUUAGUCCUUGUCUCGCUGUUGUUUACUAUAUUACUUUGUUUUUAACAAGAACUGUGGGGAGCUCCAAACGGUAUUUUAGUACAAUAUUUGAAAAAGAUAUACUGAAAAAACUCAAAUAUGUCAAACGCACAUGCGCAUACUUGUAACGUGACAGGAGAAAUCUUCGUUGGUAGUUAGUUCAGGAGGUUCAGAAGGUAGUUUAGGCGUAUCAUCUUAUUAUCUGUUGUAACUAGCUAGGUCUCUCUCCUCCUUAUCUUUCUCCCCGAGAUGUACCUCCGAUCCUCUCCAACUGAUUGUAUGCGCUAUCAGGGUUAUUGCGCCCCUGCUAUAUAACAUGCAACAUGUCCCCUCAUACGAGGUAAGACGUUUCCGCCUAUCGCACAUGCUAAUCAGAGCCUUCUUACUUCCCAUCUAAACUCUCCACGAUUCCAACUGUGCCUAGCCAUGUCUUCCUCCUCCGGCGCCUUCCAACCUAGCCUCAAUGCCCAGGUCACCGAGAAGCUUUCCCGCACGAACUACGUGUUGUGGCGCAUGCAGAUCACGCCUCAACUGCGUGGCGCCGGUGUCUUCGGCUAGUCGACGACACCUCACCGGAACCGGCCAAGCUCCUCUCCGCCAAGGACAAGGAUGGCAAGGAGACCUUUGAGCCCAACCCUCUCCACCCUAUCUGGGUUCGGGAGGAUCAGCAGAUGCUAGGCUACCUGCUGGCCAACCUCUCCACAGAGGUGCUCAUCACAUUGACCACGGUCACCACGGCGCAUGCGCUCUGGACGACGCUGGCGAGCAUGUACUCAUCCCAGUCGCUAAGCCGCGUCAACAACAUCCGCACCUCCCUCAUUAAUGCAUAGAAGGGUAACCAAUCCGUCGCUUCCUACUUCGCCUCCAUGCGCGGCCUUGCUGAUGAACUGGCGGCGGUCGGCAAGCUGAUCCAAGAUGAUGAACUCAUCUCCUACAUCCUCCAUGGGGUGGAUCAGGAAUAUCAGCCCCUGGUCUCGGCCCUCGACGCCCGCGUCACCCUCGCCUCCCUCGACGAGCUCUUCUCCAUGCUCAGCAAUUUCGACCAACGCAUGGCGCAAUUCCACGGCUCUUGCAGUGGAGGCUUCAAGUCGUCUGCCAACGGUGCAACUCGCGGUCGUGGUGGUGGCUCUCGCUUGCGUGGCCCUUCCCAUGGCAAGGGGAGGUGAGGUGGCGGUGUACACAGUGGCGGCAGCGGGCGAUCUGGCAACAAGGAGCGUCACGGUGAUGGUUCUGGCAGGUCACGCCCGGACACUCCGUGCUGUUAGAUCUGCGGCAAGCCUGGCCAAACGGCCAAGGACUGCUGGUACCGCUAUGAUGAACAUGACAAUGACUCUCAAGAUGAGGACAAGAUCGCCGCGGCUGCAGAUGGGUCCUACAGGAUUCACACCGAUUGGUAUGUCGACAAUGGCACCACAAACCAUAUCACCAGUGAACUUGAGAAAGUCACAAUGAAAGAAAAAUACCGCGGCAAAGAUCAUCCACACCGCCGGUGGAGAAGGUAUGAAGAUACGUCACAUUGGUCAUUCAAUUUUUAGUACGCCUUGACGUAGAAUUUAUCUUAAGAAAAUUUUGCAUGUUCCUAGUACCAAUAAAAAUCUUCUUUCCGUUCAUAGAAUUACCAUUGAUAAUCACGUGUUUCUCGAAUUUCAUCCUUACUUCUUUUUGAUCAAGGAUCAGGCAACGAAGAAAAUCCUCUAUCGAGGUAGAUUUGUUCGAGGGCUUUACCUGUUGAUUCCGGAGCGUAGAAGAUUCAGUAAACAAGUCUAUGGUGUCGUCAAACUUUCAUCAACACGGUGGCAUGAUCUAUUAGGACAUGCUUCUUUUUCUUUAGUUGAGAGAUUAUUUAGGAAAAAUAAGCUCCCGUUUGUUGGUGAGCGUCAUAUUGAAACAAUUUGUGAUUCAUGUCAACGAGCUAAGAGUCAUCAGUUAUCUUAUCCAAUAUCUACUAGUGUCUCCAAAAAACCAUUGCAAUUAAUUUUUUCUGAUGUUUGGGGUCCUGCCCCUAGUUCUGUUGGUAGACACACCUACUAUGUUAGCUUUCUUGAUGGCUACAAUAAAUUCUAUUGGAUCUAUCUUCUUAAGAAACAAUCAGAUGUCUUUCAAGUUUUUCAAAACUUUCAAGCUUUUGUUGAACGCAAGUUUGACAACAAAAUCAUUGUUGUCCAAUCUAAUUGGGGAGGGGAGUACGAGAAACUAAACUCCUUCUUCCAAACCCUUGGCAUUUCACACCAUGUGUCGUGCCCUCAUGCUCACCAACGAAAUGGCUCCUCCGAACAUAAGCAUCAUCAUAUCGUUGAGGUUGGGCUUGCUCUUCUAGCAAGAGCUUCUAUGCCUCUCAAAUUUUGGGACGAAGCCUUUCUCACUGCCGUUCAUAUUAUCAAUAUGCUUCCUAGUCGUGUUAUCAAUAAUGAAACUCCAGUCGAAAGGCUUCUCCACACCAAGCUAGACUAUAAGUCUCUUCGUGUUUUUGGAUGCGCAUGCAGGCCCAAUCUCCGUCCAUACAAUAAUCGCAAACUCAUGUUUCGCUCCACACAGUGCGUGUUCCUUGGCUAUAGUGCACAACACAAAGGUGUAAAAUGCCUAGAUGUCUCAACAGGACGUGUCUACAUCUCUAGAGAUGUCGUUUUUGAAGAGAAUAAAUUUCCUUUUGCUGAUCUUCAUCCUAAUGCCGGUGUCCUUCUUCGCAAAUAAAUCCUCUUUUGCCACCUCAUAUUAUCGGUAUUGAUCAAGGAAAAAAAUAUUGAUGAUCAAUUGUUGACUAAUCUCACUAAUAGUGUACAUGAGACUUGUGCUGAUGAAACAGGAGCAAUCAACAAAGAAAUGCAGUUGAAAACGGCCUCAACGGUGAGAAAAUCGGGCCUUAUUUCAUGUGUUCAGAACCAGGAGACAGAUUCUCCUCGGGAUUUGUUCCGCGUCAGGAAAUCCGAUGCUCCUCGGGAUCGGCGGCUGCAGGCGCAGGCACAGGAAUAAGAUUCCCCUCGGGAUCUGGUGCAGCAGGCACAAGCGCGGGCGCACGCGCUGCUUCCGACUCCGCGGGCAACACACGACCUCCUCCUGCUGGCUGUGUCACGUUGCCAGCCCCGCGCCAAUCUCCAUCUACCACUUGGCGUCCAGCGGUUGGCCCGGGCGACACGCGUUUUUGCGGCCAGCCCAUGUGCUACAAGAGGCAGGCUCCGAUGCGCUCCAUCAAUGUGGGGCCCAACAUGGGCGUGGGAUCCGGUGCAGAUUCCUCCACGCCCACCACCCAGCCGACCGGCGUGGACUCCCAUCCUGACAUGCAAUCAUUGGAGCAUGAUGGGCUGGUUCGCAGGCUGGGAUCCUCUGCAGCCCUCACAAGAGCUGAGGCGCGGUCGCUGGCCACAGAAGAUCCGACUGGUUCAACACGUGCUGCUACAGCUGCAGAUUUGCCCUUGGAAUCUGCUGCUGGUGAAACUUCUGUGCAGCCCGCUGGCUCCUCUAUGGCCGCAGAUUCGGCUACACCAUCUCCAAGGCGCACACGACCUGUUAAUUACAAACAUAUAGUUAAAUAUGGUAUGAUUUGUUCUACAGGAGAACCAGGUGAACCAAAUACAGUUGAAGAAGCACUUGGUGGUGAAAAGUGGAGGAAAGCUAUGAAUGAAGAGUACACGGCCCUAAAGAAGAAUAAAACAUGGCAUUUGGUUCCCCCACGGCAAGGUAAAAAUUAGAUUGAUUGCAAGUGGGUAUUCAGGAUUAAAAGAAAAUCUGAUGGAACCAUUCACCGUUAUAAGGCUAGGAUUGUUGCAAAGGGCUUCAAACAGCGGUAUGGUAUAGAUUAUGAGGACACCUUUAGUCCAAUUUUAAAAGCUGCCACUGUUAUGGCGCUGCUAGAAGGAGGGCGCGAGAGGGCCGGUCGGGGGCCUUUUUGCCCACGGCUGGGCAAGAGGGAAGGGAUUUCCUUCUUAAUUCUUGCUUGAUUAGAUUGAUACAUCUCCUCUCUUUAUAUAGAGAGGUUUACUUGACUCCCAAGCAAGGCUUACUUGACCCCUAAGCAAGCAACCCUUAUCUCUAAUUAACCCUAAGACUAAUGGGACCAUUAGGCCCAUUACGUACUCUAACACUACACCCCACCUGGACAUGCAACUUGUCCUCGAGCUGCAGCCUAAAGAACUUAUAACCAUGACUUGACGCAACACAAACCUAACACCUAAAAACAAGCCUUUUACAUCUCGGCUUGUUAUAUUAUUCUCAACCUAAAAUAGACUAGGACACUUUAUUUUGGACAUGCACGUGUACAGCCACCUGGAUCCCAUGGACACCACCUGGACAAAAUGAGUGUAUGUGUAUGGCUGUUGGUCUGCACCGCACAGGGAAGAGUGGAGGGCUUGCGAUGGAGAAUGACGAGGAGGGGUGCGCCCCUCCAACCACCAAUGUCGCAAACUUUGAGGUCGCUGCCCGCAGGGAAAACAACAUGUCGGCCGCCCAUGGGGGAAACCACAUGCCCAAGAUCCCCGACGCAGCGGACGAGAUCGAGGUCCUUUGCGCAGCGAAGGGCAACUUGGAGGAGCGGCAGCUGCAGAGCAUGCAUCUCCCGCACACGCCGACGCGCUAGGAGGCCGCACGCAGCAGCCUGCAGCCUCACCGCCGCCGACACGUGGCGGGUAGCGAUCCAAGACGGAAGCGGUGACGGCAACGACAGGGACUUGAUCUGCUGGAUGUGGACGCCCUGGUAUGGCGGCGGCGCUGAUGGGAACGAGGUCGUCGCACUCCCGUCGUAGGGCAUCCCAUACUGGGCGACGGAGCUGACCGGCGGUGGCUGCUGCAGCUGCAGCGGCUGCUGCGCUGUCGCAUCGGGCGCGGCAGAGGCCGCCAGGAGCGGCGGCUGCCACUGCAGCCAGGGCUGGGUGGUGGUGGUGAUGGAUGGCAGCUGCAGCGGCCCGGCGAGCACGGCGAAGGCCGCCUGGUGCGGCGGCUGCCAUGGCAACCACGGCGGCACGGGGGCGGCGAUGGGCGGCGCAACCGAGUGCGGCCCGUAGGACCCGACCAAGAACAGGUGGAUCUCCUGGACUGCCUGGGUUAGGUCUCGCAGCACCUUGGACACGUCCUCCAAGGUGAGGACGGUGGUGGCGGGCGCGACAGAGGAUACCGACGCGGGCAGGAGCGGGGUGACGGUCGUGGUGGUCGCUGGAGGCGACAAGGUGACCGGCAGUGGAAGAGACGGGCUUGGCGGUGGUGAAGACAUGAUCAAACCGAAGCUAGCUGAUACCAAAUUGUUAUGUGGCUGCUAGAAGGAGGGCGCGAGAGGGCCGGUCGGGGGCCUUUUUGCCCACAGCCGGGCAAGAGGGAAGGGAUUUCCUUCUUAAUUCUUGCUCGAUUAGAUUGAUACAUCUCCUCUCUUUAUAUAGAGAGGUUUACUUGACUCCCAAGCAAGGCUUACUUGACCCCUAAGCAAGCAACCCUUAUCUCUAAUUAACCCUAAGACUAAUGGGCCCAUUAGGCCCAUUACAUACUCUAACAGCCAUCAUCCGUCUUGUUUUGUCUAUUGCUGUUUCCAGAGGCUGGAGUAUUAGGCAGUUAGAUGGCUUUUUCCCUCUAGUUAGGGUUUGUCUUCCUCGAGGGGUGAUCUACGCCACCGUCGAGACCUGUCCUCCCCCGCCCGCGUCUCCCUCCCCUCGCCCGUCCCCUCUCCGGGGGCGCCAGCGGCUGGUAGGUUUCGGGGCAUAGGGUACCUGCAGAAACCCGAUUCGCUGAUAUCUGGUUAGGGUUUCAACAUGGCGGCGGACGGAUCCCCGGGUUCAGCGGGGGUCACGAACAUGGAGAAGAUGAUGCAAGAGCUGGGCUUGAAGGAAGAAGAUCUAGACGACGUGGUCUUUGACGAGAAGGAUGCACCGGAGGCAGCACGAUGGAUUGCAGUUGCUAGGGUAAACUCUGUAAAACCCUACAGUCAGUACUGGUUCUUUCGUAACAUGAGAGCGGCUUGGGAUCUCGCGCAAGAAGUUAAGUUCAAGCCCCUGGAAGACAACCUCUAUACCAUCCAAUUUUCCUGCUUGGGGGAUUGGGAGAGAGUCAUGCACGAGGGACCGUGGCACUUCAGGGGGGAUGCAGUCAUACUGAAGGAGUACGACGGAGUGACGAAGCCAUCAAACGUCAAGCUGGACACAAUAGAGAUCUGGAUUCAGAUACAUGAUGUACCAAUCCUCUAUGCCCAUCUGAUUCCUUCUCUUGCGUCCAAGGUGGGAGAGGUUCUGUUCACGGAACCCCAGUCGCACGAUUUCACGGGAAACUUCCAUCGUGUCUGGGUGAGGAUUAAUGUUGCUAAACCCCUCAAGAAUGCCAUGUCCAUGAUCCGGGGUGGCGAGCGGCAGAUCUAUAAGGUUAAGUAUGAAAAGCUACCGGAUUGGUGCGCCGUGUGCGGCAUGCUGGGCCAUCUUUACAAGGAGCACGGGACAGGCAUCCACCCUCCGUCAGCUCUCGUAUUCAAGGAGCUCAGGGCGUCUUGGGUCAUGAGGAACGGUAGCGGUCCAGGAGGAGGCAGCGGGCGCAGGGGGGGUCGCAGAGGAGGACGGUCUGGCAGAGGAGGGCGCUCACACUCCCAACAGGAUGACAAAGGGGAGGAAUACAGCGAAAAGGACAUGGAGAUGGCUGAUGCUGAGAAUAUCAGGAAGAGAGGAUCGGAGCCAACGCUUCAUCAGGGUGUGGAGGUGCACUCGGGGGCGACAAAGGGGAUGACGCUAGCACUACCCCCUCCCCCCAAUCCAUCGUCGGUGGUCCUAAGCCCAAGCGCAACACAGGAGUCAAAGAGAGCAAAGACAGUGCCGGAGACUGACAAGGUUUCAACAGCAAGAGUUUUGUUUCUUAGCAAGAACGACCAAAAUCAGGCGGGCCCGAGUGACGGGCACCGCCAAGCCCAAUGAGUGUCUUCUGCUGGAACUGUCGCGGCAUGGGCAAAGCCGCGACAGUCCGUGAACUUCGCGAGUUUGCGAAGAAAUUUGCCCCUACCCUUUUGUGUAUUGUAGAAACUCAGCUCGAAGGCUCGAGGGUAGAAGCGUUAGCAGGAACACUUGGUUAUGAUAGGAGUUUUGCUGUUAGUAGCCGUGGUAGAAGUGGAGGCAUUGGUUUGUUUUGGAACAAUGAAAUAAAUAUCGAGAUUUUGGGUUACUCUGAUUACCACCUUGAUUGCUCGUGACGAUCCUUGGAGACUGACUGUAGUUUAUGGAGAAGCUCAGACCCACAUGAGAUACCGCACCUGGGACACUUUAAAAAACAUUAGCACUUUGAGCAGUCUCCCGUGGCUGUGUGUGGGUGAUUACAAUGAGGUGCUAUGUCCGGAAGAACAUGUGGGUGUCGGUCAGCGAAGCAAUGCGCAAAUCCAAGCCUUCAGAGAUGCCGUUGACGUUUGCAUGCUGCUUGAUAUUGGCUAUAUUGGCUUACCAUGGACCUUUCAGAAGAAGGUCACGGGAGGAACCUUCACCAGGGUGCGCCUCAGCAGAGCUUUGGCCUCGGUGGAGUGGCAAGCCCGCUUCCCUUCGGCUGACCUCACGCACCUGGUGGCAGCCACGUCCGAUCACAGCCCUAUUUUGGCGAAUCUGAACAGGGAGCAAAGGCACAACCAGCGGCCGAGUACCUUCAGGUACGAGGUCAUGUGGGAGGGCCAUGAGUCAUGGAGUAGCAAGAUUGCGGAGUCGUGGGCAAAUACAGGCGCAGCCAACAGGUUAGAAGAUCUCCGGGUUAAGCUCUCGGCGGUGUCGCAAGACCUGGGGCGAUGGAAUAAGGACACUUUUGGCAGUGUGCGUAAGGAGAUUAAACGGCUCAAGGGCGAACUCGAGAAGCUGAGAUCGGAUGCAAGUAGAACAGCACCAACACAUGUCGAACUUAAGAUCAAUGAGAAGCUUGUGGAAUUGUACCAUAGGGAGGAGGUCAUGUGGAGGCAGAGAUCCAGGGUCCAGUGGCUCUCUUCGGGAGACACGAAUACCAAAUUUUUCCAUCUACGUGCAAGCAUCCGGCGCAAGAAGAACAUGAUAAAGGCACUGCAUAACUCUCUUGGGGUGCUCACAGAUGAUCUGGACGAGCUGAGGGCCAUGGUGAACGACUUCUACAAAACAUUAUACACUACGGAGGGGGUAAGCAACAUGGAGGCUGUCCUAAACUGCGUCCCAAGGAAAGUAACACUGGAGAUGAAUGAGGUGCUGUGUGCGCAUUACACAAACGAGGAGGUCAAGGCAGCCUUAUUCCAGAUGUUCCCGACCAAGGCGCCAGGACCGGAUGGUUUUCUGGCACACUUUUUUCAGCGACACUGGGAGCUUUGUGGUACAGAGGUGACUGAGGCAGUGUUGAGAAUUGUGAGGGGGGAGGAGAGCCCGGAGUGCAUAAAUGACACCAUCCUUGUUCUGAUUCCCAAGGUAACAAACCCCAGUGUUUUGUCCCAGUUUAGGCCUAUUAGUCUUUGUAAUGUGCUAUACAAAAUUGCAUCCAAAGUCAUUGCAAACAGGCUCAAGCAAAUUCUACCGGAUAUCAUAUCUGAGGAACAAUCGGCCUUCGUUCCGGGCAGACUCAUAACGGAUAAUAUUAUCAGUGCAUAUGAAUGUCUUCAUUUUAUGAAGCGGAGCAAAGCUAAGGCUAACGGUUAUUGUGCACUUAAGCUCGAUAUGAUGAAGGCGUAUGACAGGCUGGAAUGGGACUACUUAGAGGCAAUCAUGGGAAAGCUUGGUUUUGCUCCCCCUUGGAUAAAUACAAUUAUGGGCAUGGUGAGGUCGGUAUCCUUCUCAGUGCUCUUUAACGGUGAAAAGCUUGAUCAUUUCAUGCCGAGCAGAGGUUUAAGGUAGGGAGAUCCGAUAUCCCCCUAUCUCUUCUUAAUUGCAGCGGAGGGCCUCUCGUGCCUCCUGAAAACCAGUUCUUCGUCAUCAAGUAUUGUUGGUCUUAAGGUGGCACCCACGGCCCCGGCCGUUAACCACCUCCUUUUCGCAGAUGACAGCCUGCUGCUAUUUAAGUCAGGGAAUGAGGGGGCAGUAGCAGUAUCAAACCUGCUCGAAACAUACUGUUUGGCUUUGGGUCAGAGGAUAAAUCAUGAUAAAUCUUCGAUUUUCUUCAGCAGAGGAUGCCCACAAGUGGUAAGAGACGAAAUGAAAAAUAUUCUGAAUGUGCAUAACGAGUCCCUUAGUGACAGGUAUUUGGGAAUGCCAACGGAGGUCGGUCACUCGAAGAAUGGAACCUUCAAAUACUUGAGGGACCGAGUUUGGGAGAAGGUCAAAGGAUGGAUGGAAAAGCUAUUAUCUUCAGCGAGGAAAGAGGUACUAAUCAAAGCAGUGGCUCAAGCAAUUCCAGUGUAUUCGAUGGCUUGCUUCCGACUUCCACGGGGACUAUGUGAAAGUAUUACUGUGCUAAUCAGACAAUUCUGGUGGGGAAGUAAGCAGGGGAAUCGAAAACCGAGCUGGGUGGCAUGGGAUGUGGUCACUCUGCCAAAGCAUCUUGGAGGUCUUGGCUUUCGGGACAUGGAGAUGUUCAACUUGGCACUCCUAGCAAGGCAAUCCUGGCGCAUGUUGCAAAAUCCACUGUCUCUCAGUGCGAGGAUCCUGAAAGCAGUAUACUAUCCCAACUCGGACAUUUUUGGAGCAACACUAGGGCCUCACCCCUCACAGAUUUGGCGGGCUAUCUUGGAUGGACGGGAUAUCAUGGUCCAGGGUUUGGUACGCAGAAUUGGAGACGGUGAAUCGACAAAGAUAUGGGAGGACAAUUGGUUGCCGAGACCAAACAUGAAGAGACCGAUCACCUCUCUAGUGCAGAAUCCUCCAACUACAGUAGCUGAGUUGAUAGAUCACACUACAUCAUCCUGGAAGGAGGAUCUAGUCCGGACGGUGUUUAUACCAAUCGAUGCUGCAGCCAUACUGCAAAUACCCCUUUGCACAGGACAGACUGACGAUUUCUGGGCCCGGUCCGAGGAGAGGAAGGGCACGUUCACCGUGCGUUCAGCGUAUCGGAUGAUCCAACUAACGAAGCUCAGCCGCGAGGCAUGGCUUUAUGAAGAUGGCUCGGCUUCUGACUCUCAUGGAGCUGACCAGGGGUGGACAAAACUAUGGCGGAUCAAGGUCCCCUCAAAACUGAAAUUUUUCUUAUGGAGACUCGCCAAGCACUCUGUCCCCACAGCAUCGCUGCUCCAUCAUCGAAAUAUGUCAACUUCCCGAGCUUGCUGCCUUUGUGGGGCGGUUGACACCUGGCGCCAUGCCCUUGUGGAUUGUUCGGUCUCUAGGAGUACUUGGGCGCUGUCUUCAGAGGAGAUUCUCACCAAGUUGAGCACAUGCACAGAGGAAAACGCGAAAAGAUGGUUAUUCGUCAUGCACGAAGCGCUCAACCAAGAUGAUUUCCUUGCUUUCGUCGUCACACUAUGGGCUCUGUGGGGCGCUCAAAGGAAGGCCAUGUACGAGCAUAUCUUCCAGACACCUUAUGCCAUUAACGGGUUUGUAAAAUCCUACAUAGCUGAACUCAAGGCAAUCCAGACUCCGACGGCCGUUGGGGUCAGGGCUCCACAAGCUCGAGGUAACAGAUGGAUGGCACCACCACAGGGCCUGGUGAAGAUCAAUGUUGAUGCCGCCGUAGGCUGGGAGAGAGGUGCAGCAGGAGCUAUCUGUAGAGAUCAGGAUGGAGCCUUCUUGGGAGCUUCGGCGGUGGUCUUCUCUCAUCUUUCAGAUCCAGGCACUUUGGAGAUGCUCGCUAUUAGGGAAGCCCUGGCACUGGCAGAUGACAUAUAUGUCAGGAGGAUUCAUGUUGCGUCGGACUGUAAAGUGGCCAUGGAUGACAUCCAUCAACAAUGCAAAGGAAGCUAUGGGGCUAUUGCACAUGAAAUCAUACAACAUAGGGCAGAAUUUGAGGUUUGUAAUAUACGUCAUGAGUUUAGGAGCUCGAACAUCGAAGCUCACAAACUAGCAAAGCACGCUUUAUCUCUCGGGGUUGGUCGCCAUGUUUGGUUAGGCCAGCCCAACGAUCUUGAUUUCGUCCCUGUAAACAUUGUGACGACGUAAUAAAGCUUUGCAGUUUGUCUAAAAAAAGGCAGUUAGAUGUGCAGAACGCGUUCCUUUAUGGUGUUUUUGAAGAGGAAAUGUACAUGAAACAACCUAUUGGGUUUGAAAGUAAAGGUGCUCCCUCUCAUGUGUGCAAACUUGACAAAGCACUAUAUGGAUUAAAGCAAGCUCCAAGGGCAUGGUAUUCUUGCCUCUGUCAUAAAAUGCUGGCACUUGGGCUUGUUCCAUCAAAAUCUGACACCUCAUUGUUUAUUUACAACAAGUCCAACACAUGCAUUUUUUUCUCAUCUAUGUUGAUGAUAUUAUUGUGAUAAGCUCAUCUAAUGAAGCAAUCACAAGACUGUUAAAAGAUUUGGGUGCAGAUUUUGCCUUGAAGGAUCUUUGAUGGCUUGCAUUUUUUUUGGAAUUGAGGUGAAGAGACACAAGGAAGGACUUCAUCUCUCUUAGGAAAAGUAUGCAACUGAUCUGGUAAAAAAGACUGGCUUGCAAGGUUGUAAACCCUCACCCACUCCUUUAUCCAGCUCAGAAAAAUUAUCUCUUACAGAAUGGACACUCUUGAAUUAAGAGGAUAGCACAAAAUACAGAAGUUUAGUAGGGGCAUUACAAUAUCUCACCCUUACUAGACAUGACAUUUCCUUUGCUGUUAACAAAGUAUGUCAGUUCCUUCAUGCACCCACAACUGUUCACUUGACAGCUGCAAAACGUAUAGUCAGAUACGUCAAAAACACUCUGGGCAUUGGUUUAAAUUUCAGAAAAUCACCCUCUACUCUUGUCAGUGCCUUCUCUGACUCUGAUUUAGCAGGAUGCCUGGAUGACAGACGAUCAACUGGUGGGUUUGCAGUAUUUUUUGGACCUAACCUAAUAUCAUGGUGUGCAUGAAAACACGCUACUGUCUCCCGAUCAAGCACAGAAGCAAAGUAUAAAACAUUAGCAAAUGCUACAACAGAGAUAAUAUGGGUUCAGUCCAUAUUGAAGGAGCUUGGUGUGAAAAAUACACAAAUCCCAUGUCUAUGGUGUGACAAUCUUGGUGCCACUUAUCUUUCUGCAAAUCCAGUGUUUCAAGCCAGGACAAAGCAUAUAGAAAUUGAUUUUCAUUUUGUCAGAGAAAGGGUUGCUCAGAAGCAACUUGACAUUCGUUUUGUGCACUCCAGAUAUCAAGUUGCAGAUGGAUUCACAAAGGCUUUGCCUGUACAAAGUUUUGAAGACUUCAAGCAUAAUCUCAACUUGACCAAGUUAUGAUUAAGGGAGGGUGUCAAACACACAUGCGCAUACAUGUAACGUGACAGGAGAGAUCUUCGUUGGUAGUUAGUUCAGGAGGUUCAGGAGGUAGUUUAGGCGUAUCAUCUUAUUAUCUGUUGUAACUAAGGUCUAUCUCCUCCUUAUCUUUCUCCUCAAGAUGUACCUUUGAUCCUCUCCAACGGAAUGUAUGUGCUAUCAGGGUUAUUGCGCCCAUGCUAUAUAACAUGCAGCAUGUCCCCUCAUACGAGGUAAGAAGUUUCCGCCUAUCGCACAAAAUAGACCACUUCGGUUGAAUGUGAAGAAGCCCAGAACAAUAAUAGUUGUUGCGAGGGUAUGCUAUCUCUCUCUGAAUUUUGUGAUCAGUAUUGGCCAAAGUUUAUCGAGUUCCUAAUUUUUUUAGGGGAGGUUCCUAACUUCAUUUUGUUUCAUCGGGGAAAAUACAUUGAGGUAGGUAAAGAAAUAUUAGAUAUUAGCAAUGUCCUAUUUCGAUAAAUUUGGAUGUUGAAAAAAGUCCACUUUUGACUAAAUUUUGCAUGAACAACAAAUGUAUUUUUGCACAUACUAUUCUAAUUAAACUUGAACAUGAACUAUUUUUUUCUUCCGUUGCAACGCACGGGCAUAUGUGCUCCAUCCGUAAGAAAUUUAAGAGCAUUUAGAUCACUACAGAGGGUGUACUACUGGAACGUGACAACGUUUUAAUAGCUAUUCCUUCUGAAAAGUUAGCAUCGAAAAUCACUGUAAACAGCUUCAACAUCAUGUGACAUGCCUACGCUACAGAAUCUAUCAACUUCUGCCUCCAGUAUAAUAAAUAACAGUGUUCAGAUAAUUAGCGUCACAAUAAUGACCGACGGUAAAGGCGAGCAAGCUUCAGUUAACUGUUAAAUUUGUCGGACGGUAAACAGAGGAGCUGAGAGUCGACGUGAGCCGUUGAUCUGGCGAGCUUGAAUUGGAGCCGUUCAUCGAAUCUUUCUCUUCCCUGCACCGUUUCUUCAGUCCGUGUCGCUGUCGUUUUCUUCAGUUAUCUUUAGGUUCAGAUUAGUAGCACCGAGUCCUCCUCAAUCGUCCGUCUCCUACCUGGAGUGGACUCUCGUUCACUUCCAUGGCCAGAGAAGAUCCACUCUGCCGGGACGCCGGAUCAACUCGGACUAUACAAUUCCGACACCAACACCCCCUACUCCAGUAACAGGGAGGAAGAUGCUAUAAAGGCCUGCCGAUCCCCUCAACUUCCUCCUCACAUCGCACUACGAGAUCAAGGAUCCAAGGAUCGUUUACCCACUUUCCAAGGAAAACAAUCGAAUCGAGACAAACUCGCGUCUCAUCCCAUGGCAAGCCAGGGCGAUGCAAGCGGGAAGAAGGACUACUCCACGGCGAUCCUGGAGAGGAAGAAGUCGCCGAACCGGCUGGUGGUCGACGAGGCGACCAACAACGAGAACUCCACCGUCGCCCUGCACCCGGACACCAUGGACAACCUCGACCUCUUCCGUGGCGACACCGUCCUGCUCAAGGGCAAGAAGCGGAAGGACACGGUCUGCAUUCUACUCCCAGACGACACGUGCGACAAGACCAAGGUCCGGAUGAACAAGGUCGUUAGGAAGAACCUGAGGGUCUGGCUCGGUGACGUCGUCUCCGUCCAUCAGUGCCCGGAUGUCAAAUACGGGAAGCGCGUCCACGUACUCCCAAUCGAUGACACCGUCGAAGGGAUCGCCGGAAACCUGUUCGACGCCUUCCUGAGACCCUACUUCCUCGAGGCCUAUCGUCCCCUCAGGAAAGGAGACCUGUUCCUGGUGAGAGGCGACAUGACGAGCGUGGAUUUCAAGGUCGUGGAGACCGACCCCGCGGAGUACUGCAUCGUCGCGUCAGACACGAAGAUAUUCUGUGACGGCGAGCCUGUCAAGCGGGAGGAUGAGGAGAGGCUCGACGAUGUCGGCUACGAUGAUGUCGGUGGGGUCAGGAAGCAGAUGGCCCAGAUCAGAGAGCUGGUUGAGCUCCCACUGCACCACCCCCAGCUGUUCAAGUGCAUCGGUGUGAAGCCUCCAAAGGGCAUCUUGCUGUAUGGGCCACCUGGGACCGGCAAGACCCUCAUUGCCAGAGCUGUGGCCAAUGAAACAGGGGCCUUCUUCUUCAUGAUCAAUGGCCCGGAGAUCAUGUCAAAGAUGGCCGGAGAGAGCGAGAGCAACCUCAGGAAGGCAUUUGAAGAGGCCGAGAAGAAUGCGCCGGCCAUCAUCUUCAUCGAUGAGAUCGAUUCCUAUAGCAACCAGACCUCAAACAGUUCUCUGUGCUCAGGUGUCAUCCCUGGAUCAGUAAUGCUAACACCACAUAGUACUUGAAGGAUUUAUAACAGAGUAGCAAUCACACGCUUAUUACAUCGAAUGUAUCAAGAGAGAACUUAUUAAAAUAAAUAUGGCUUAAGGCCAUCUAAUAACGAUAACAGCGGAAGACUUGGAAGAUAAGCGAGUCCAUCAACUCCAACGGCAUCACUGAGUAUAGAACCACGACCUAAAGGCACCUUACUCGUUGUCUGAAAAGUCUGUAACAUGAAACGUUACAGCCCGAAAACGGGUCAGCACAUGGAAUAUGCUGGCAAUGUAACACAUAGAGAAAUAUGAUGAAAUAAGCUAUACUACAUGCAUAUUUGGCUGGUGAAAAGCUCUAUGGUUACAUUUUUGCGUAAAGCCAAUUUUUCCCUACUGCAAAGGAAUAAAUUUAUUUAACUAUUAUGGUGGUUGUUAAACAUUGAGAAUGGUUGACAACAUUCUCAAUCCCAAUUAAGCAUCAUCAUUAAACCCAACAAAAUUAAUUAAAGUAACAUGAUGAGAUUCACAUGAUAUCCAAGUACUAGAUACUCUAGAUGUCCAUAACCGGGGACACGACUAACCAUGAUUAGUUUGUUACACUCUGCAGAGGUUUGCACACUUUUCCCCACAUGACUCGAUCUCCUCCGUUUGAUUUCUCGCACUUCAUGGUGUUAGAGAAACGGAUGACAGAGACAUAGUCUUUCAGAAGCGCUAGCACCUUACGAUGGGUAGACCGUACCAACCUACAUCCCCUACAUCUGCUAGUCUACCACUGUAAGAGUUCGCCCGACUUAGUCAACUAUGCUAGAGCCCAUAAUAGCAUGUGGCUGCACACGGAAGUUUCUAGCAUGAAUAAUCUUAUGAUCCCUUUGAGCCUGGGUGGCGGUCCAAAAACAAACAGGCAAUCCUGGAAUACCCAGGUACCUCAAUCCACCCAAAUGUGUAUUAAAGUUGCCACCUUAAAUAAACCAUUAAAUUAACAAUCUCACAUCUGUCAUGGAUACACUCACCCAAUCCACGUCUACUAGCAUAGCAUGGUAUAAUAAGCAAACGUAGAAGUAACUCACAAAGGUUUGAAAAUAAAACAGAUAAUAGGUACUACCUCAACUACUUCCCAAAACCCACAAAUUAAUUAGAUCCUAAUCAUGCAAUGUUUGAGGAUUGAUCUAAUGCAUAAAAACUGGGUAUGAGAAAGGAAUGAUCAAAGUGUUACUUGCCUUGCUGAUGAUCCGCGAAACCUAGAGACUCGAAAUAACAGGCGGCGCACUCCGGGUAUUCUAUCGCAGACAAACAAACAAGCAUACAAUAAGUACUCAUCUAAUGCACAGGUAAAACUCAAGUAAGAGAUCUAACCAGAAAGUUCAACUUAAGAACUCCGGUUUGCAAAAGAAAACAAAUCGAACGAAGAUACGAAAGUCAAACGGCGAAGAAAACAAGUUUUACUAAUCUGGAUUUAAGUCAAUUUUUACAGUAGCAAAAACUUGUUCAAGUUGGUUAUUCGGAAAGAGGGUUUCGAGACGAAACUCCAGGCGCUUGAAUCACCUGAUUCCGAUAAACGAGCGAAAAGUUAUACCAGAACGAAAAUCGGAUCAGAAAUCGCGAUCAGAAAAUCGCGGAUUAAAUCCGAGAAAAAGAAAAACGACGAACAGCUUAACGAACGAACGUUCGUUAACUGGAUCUAAACGACGAACACGUUCGUUAAAACGAAUGAAUGAGCGAACGCUCGCUAUUUAACCGAACCAAAAAAACCGAUCUAAUAAAAAAACGGAAACUAAAAAAAAAUCAGCGAAAAACCGAACGGUUUUUCGAGAAAACCGGCGGCGCGGAAAUCGAGGCACCUCGGGCGGUGGGCGGCGAGGCGGCGGGCGGCGGCUCCGGCAAGGUCGGCGGCUNNNNNNNNNNNNNNNNNNNNNNNNNNNNNNNNNNNNNNNNNNNNNNNNNNNNNNNNNNNNNNNNNNNNNNNNNNNNNNNNNNNNNNNNNNNNNNNNNNNNNNNNNNNNNNNNNNNNNNNNNNNNNNNNNNNNNNNNNNNNNNNNNNNNNNNNNNNNNNNNNNNNNNNNNNNNNNNNNNNNNNNNNNNNNNNNNNNNNNNNNNNNNNNNNNNNNNNNNNNNNNNNNNNNNNNNNNNNNNNNNNNNNNNNNNNNNNNNNNNNNNNNNNNNNNNNNNNNNNNNNNNNNNNNNNNNNNNNNNNNNNNNNNNNNNNNNNNNNNNNNNNNNNNNNNNNNNNNNNNNNNNNNNNNNNNNNNNNNNNNNNNNNNGUCGGUUUGUUUUUUUUAAAUAAUUUCAUGUAGAAAAUCAAACGAAAGAAAUACUAAACGGACUCCAAAAAUCCCGAAAUAAAUUUUCCCCGGCUUCUAAAAUCAAGCCGGGCAAGAUGAACAUUUAUUUGGGGCCUAAAUGCAAUUUUGGAAAAUGCAUAUUUUUCCUAAAUUCAAAUAAAAUAACGAAAAACUCCGAAAUAAAAUCCUAUUUGAUUUUAUUAUUAAAUCCUCAAUAUUUCUUUAUUUUGGGAAAGUCAUUUUAUUCCCUCUCUCAUAUUUUUGUAAUAGAAAUAAUUGAUGAUAAAAUAAAUCAAAUCAAAUGAUCCUAUUCCCAAAAUUUGAGAAAACUCAAAUAUGAAAAUAACGAAAUCCCCAACUCUCUCCGUGGGUCCUUGAGUUGCGUAGAAUUUCUAGGAUCAAAACCAAAAGCAAAUAAAAUAUGAUAUGCAUGGAUGAUCUAAUGUAUAACAUUCCAAAUUGAAAAUUUGGGAUGUUACAAACCUACCCCCCUUAAGAUGAAUCUCGCCCUCGAGAUUCGGGUUGGCUAGAAAAUAGGUGAGGGUGGUCCUUGAGCAAAUCUUCCUCUCGUUCCCAAGUGGCUUCGUCCUUCGAGUGGUGGCUCCACUGAACCUUACAGAACUUGAUAACCUUGCUGCGGGUGACUCUGCUGGCAAACUCGAGAAUCUUAACUGGUUUCUCCUCAUAGGUCAAAUUGUUAUCCAACUGAAUUGCUUCCAACGGCACUGUGUCUCUCAAUGGCAUGUCAGCCAUCUCUGCGUGGCACUUCUUCAACUGAGAAACAUGGAACACAUCGUGAAUACCUGACAAUCCCUCGAGUAAUUCCAACUUGUAAGCAACUUCUCCCAUAUGUUCCAAAACAUGAUAUGGUCCUACAAAUCGGGGCGCUAGCUUUCCUUUAACUCCAAUUCGCUUAACUCCUCGAAGCGGGGAUACUCGAAGAUAAACUCUGUCUCCAACUUCAUAUUCUGUUUCCUUGUGUUUUGAAUCCGCGUAGCUCUUCUGCCUGGACUGGGCUACCUUGAGCCUUUCGUGAAUUAACUUCACCUUCUGUUUAGACUCCUUAAUCAAAUCAGGUCCAAACAACUGGCGGUCUCCAACCUCGUCCCAUGACAACGGUGUCCUGCACCUCCUUCCGUACAAGGCUUCGAAAGGGGCCAUUUUCAAACUGGUUUGAUAGCUGUUGUUGUAAGAAAACUCUGCAUAUGGCAAAUUGUCAUCGCAACUUGAUCCAUAAUCUAGCGCACAAGCUCUCAGCAUAUCCUCCAAAAUCUGGUUGACUCUCUCGGUCUAUCCAUCUGUCUGUGGAUGAAAAGCUGUACUAAACUCUAGCCUGGUACCCAAAGUCUCGUGCAACUGCUUCCAGAACUUUGAAGUAAACUGGGUUCCUCUAUCUGAUACGAUACUCCUCGGAACUCCAUGCAAACAGACGAUCCUGUUCAUGUAUAUCUUGGCCAACUUAGCACUAGUGUAAGUGGUCUUUACUGGGAUGAAAUGUGCUACCUUCGUCAACCGAUCAACUACAACCCAAAUUGAGUCAUAGCCGGAACGAGUCCUUGGUAAUCCUGUGAUAAAAUCCAUGCCUAACUUAUCCCACUUCCAUUCGGGUAUCGGCAAUGGCUGUAGCAAUCCUACUGGCUUUUGAUGCUCUGCUUUUACUCUUUGACAUACAUCGCAAACUGCUACGUACUCCGCAAUGUCUUUCUUCAUUCCGGUCCACCAGAAUGUAUCCUUCAAAUCCAAAUGCAUCUUGGUAUUUCCUGGGUGAAUUGAAUACGGGUGAAUCAUGUGCUUCUUGCAGAAUCAACUUCCUAAUCUCCAGGUCGUUGGGCACAUAUACACGGUCUUCAAACCAUAGGGUAUCGUGUUCAUCCUCAUGAAAUCCCUUAGCUUUUCCCUGGCUCAUCUUCUCCUUAAUGGAAGCAACUUCCUUAUCUGUCCUUUGAGCUUCAUUUUAUCCAUCAAGGUGGACUGAAUUUCCAAUGCUGCUACAUAGCCUCUCGGAACUAUUUCCAAACAUAGCUCCCGGAACUCCUCGGCUAAUUCUUUUGGUAAACCUUCGGUCAUUAGGGUGUUGACAUGGCUCUUACGGCUCAACGCGUCUGCUACAAUGUUAGCCUUCCCGGGGUGAUAAUGCAAUCUCAUAUCGUAAUCUUUAAUAAGCUCCAACCAUCUCCUCUGCCUGAGAUUCAACUCCUUUUGCGUGAAGAUGUACUUUAAACUCUUGUGAUCGGUGUACACCUCACAGUGAUUUCCAACGAGAAAAUGUCUCCACGUUUUCAAUGCAUGUACUACAGCUGCUAACUCCAAAUCAUGCGUGGCAUAAUUCAAUUCGUGAGGUUUUAGUUGUCGUGAAGCGUAUGAAACAACUCUUCCCUCCUGCAUGAGCACUGCUCCAAGUCCUCGAUGUGAAGCGUCGCAAUACACGUCAUAAUCCUUGGUCUGAUCUGGCAGAAUUAACACUGGUGAGGUAACCAAACGUUUCUUCAACUCCUGGAAACUAGCCUCACACUCCUCAGUCCAUAUGAACUUGGUAUCCUUCUUCAACAAUUCCGUCAUAGGCUUCGCAAUUCUCGAGAAAUUCUCAAUGAAUCUUCAGUAGUAUCCUGCGAGUCCAAGGAAACUCCGAAUCUCUCCAACUGUUGUUGGUACUUCCCAGUUUGUCACAGUGGCAACUUUAGUGGGGUCUACUGCUAUUCCUUCUCCGGAUAUAACAUGUCCGAGAAAUCCAACUUCCUUCAACCAAAACUCACACUUGCUGAACUUGGCGUACAACUGAUGUUCUCUAAGCUUCUCGAGUACCAAACACAAGUGCUCCUUAUGUUCUUCUUCAUUCUUUGAGUAGACCAAAAUAUUGUCAAUGAAUACCACGACGAACUUAUCCAAAAACUCCAUAAACACCUUGUUUAUCAUGUUCAUAAAAUAGGCCGGGGCGUUAGUUAGACCAAAUGACAUAACGGUAUACUCAUACAACCCGUACCUGGUGGUAAAAGCCGUCUUAGGUAUAUCCUACUCUCGAAUCUUCAACUGAUGAUAUCUUGAUCGCAAAUCAAUCUUGGAAAACACCUUUGCUCCUUGCAAGCGGUUAAACAGAUCAUUGAUCAUCGGCAACGGGUAUUUGUUCUUAAUGGUCACUUCAUUCAAUCCUCGAUAAUCAACAACCAUUCUUAAUGAUCCAUCCUUCUCCUCCACUAGAAGUACUGGCGAUCCCAAAGGUGAAGAACUUGGGCGGAUAAAACCUUUGUCCAACAACUCCUUAAUCUGUUUCUUAAUUUCCUCCAAAUCUUGGGAUGGCAUCCUAUAUGGUCUCUUAGAUAUUGGCCCAGUGCCUGGCAGUAGUUCAAUCAGAAACUCAAUGUCUCUGUCCGGUGGCAUGCCUGGCAACUCUUUAAGAAAAACAUCCGGGAAAUCCCUUACCACUGGUACUUCCUCCUGCACAACUCCUGAUAAGGAAUUUACAUGUGCCCUCCUCGGCUCAUGCCGUGAUAUACUUGAUCCUCCUUCCUUUUGGGGUGGUAAGCAAAAUCGACUUACUGGCGCAAUCUAUGUUCCCUCCAUACUCCGAUAACCAAUCCAUGCCUAAUAUCACAUCCAAUCCUUGCGAUUCCAGAACUAUUAGGUCCGAGGGAAAAACAUAGUGUCCAAUCCUUAAUGGUAAUCGAUCACACCAUAUACUAGCCAUGUAUUCUGCUACGGGUGAGGUUACUAGCAUGGGUGACCUAAGGGCUUGGGUUGGUAAUUUAUACUUAUCCACAAAUCCCCUUGAUAUGUAUGAAUGCGAUGCACCAGUAUCAAAAAGAACAACUGCAGUAAAUGUCUUAACCAAAAACUUACCUAUUACUGCGUCUGGAUGAGCUUCAACCUCCUCCAGGGUAACGUGGUUCACCUGUCCCCUGUUGAAAGGGUUCGGCUUCUUGCCUGAGCUUCCAUUGCCGUUACCAUUUUGGGAUUCUGGACAUUCAUUUGCAUAAUGCCCAGUCUUACGACACUUAAAACAAGUGAUAUGGCUCAGGUCUACCUUGGAUGGUGUUGACGGGUUGGUGCGGUUUUGUCCAUUGUUUCCUCCAUUCCCGUUUCCAUUCUUUGUGCCAUUAUGAUUGUGUGAGCUACCUCCUCCAUGAGUAUGCUGAAAUUGCCCUCCCGGUUUAGGGGUAAGACGGGGCUUUUGUUGGGCUCCAGAGUUAUACUUCCCCUGUCCAUACUUCCGCUUGCGGUUUUCAAUCUGUUGCUGCUUCCCUUCAAUCAUAAGAGCAUGAUCUACCAACUCCUGGUAGUUGUUGAAAUUUUCCACCAUCAACUGCAUGCUCAGCUCAUCAUUCAGCCCUUCCAGAAACUUCUCCUGCUUAGCCGCACCCGUAGCAAUGUCAUCUGGGGCAUAACAUUCUAGUUUGCUAAAGUCAUCCACAUACUGGCCAACUGUCCGUCCUCCUUGGCGCAAGUUGCGAAACUCACGCUUCUUCAUGGCCAUAGCUCCUGCUAAAACAUGGGCAGUACGGAAUGCCUGCUGAAACUGAUCCCAUGUGACAGUGUCUACAGGAUAAGCGGCUGUAAAAUUCUCCCACCAUGCCGCUGCGGGUCCAUCAAGCUGGUGUGCGGCAAAUUGCACCUUCUCCGCAUCUGUGCAACCUGCAGUGGUCAACUCCCUCCCUGUGUUGCGGAGCCAAUCAUCUGCUACUAUCGGCUCGGUGCUACUAGAGAACACCGGCGGAUUCAGCCUAAGAAAACGGGUUAAAUGAUCAACAGGUGGUGGCGGUGGUGGAUUGUUGUUGUUAUUUCCCUGAUUCUGAUUCUGGACUAAUAUCUGCAUCAAUGCAUUCUGCUGCUAGAUCAAUUGGGUGAGCUCCGGUGAAAUCCAUUGUCACGUCUCGGAGGCAUAUGAGGGUUUAGAAAAGAUGAGAAUUAAGAACAGAAUGAGGUCUAAAGAGAAAGCACUAACCAAUUGCACAUGAGGCAAAUGCACACAAAAUCACUUCAUUCAAUCAAACAAGGGCAUACAAUCGGUCUAGAACUAUCGCAAAAGUGUGUGGACUAUACUAGAUACAUGGUGGAACACUACUACUGUUAUGGUAGUCGACUAGAAAACCUGCUCCAUUGAAGACUCCAUGAUAUCUGCUCCAGCUUCAUCAACAUAAUCAUCAUCACUAUCAUCUGGGUCCGAGUCGGUGUCGUCAAUGAUGAUGUAGUUCUCUGGGCAUGUGAAAUCUUCGUCUUCUCCUUCUGUCGCAGGAAAUCCCAUAAAGACUUUCAGCUUCUUCUUCAGAUCAUCGCUCUUCUCAACUAGUGUUGCUAUUUCCUCCUCGUAUCCAUCACGUGUAGACUUGAGUUCUUCCUCCAGUUCCGUGAUUUUGGCCAUGGCCUUCUUUAGAUCCAUCAUCCCUGUGCACAUUUGGUUCUCCUGGCGUCGGAUGUGCUGGUUCAACUCCUGGAUGAAAGCUGCAAUUGAGCGGUCCUUCCGGGUGCUGAUCAUCUCCCAUUUCUCAUCUCGGCGCCCACAAAUCUGGUAGAUAGUAUCCUUAAGUUCCUUAUGAUAGACUUCUCCAGUACGUCCCAUGGAAAUGUGGGCUGCCAUGCUCUUUCCUAGGUUCCAGGUUGGUGCAUCAAAGGAAAACUCUAUGGUCUCAGUGACGGGCAUGAAGGUCCUUCCUGGAAUUUGAACUUGAAUCUUCCAACGCUCCUCUUCAGGUAAAGUGGCGUUGUAGGUUCCGGUGAAGCUUGGUACUCCGAUCUUCAAGUACUUGGUGACUUCCUUCAGGUGUCGUCCAAAGGGUGUAUCUUCAUCCGGUUGCAUGAACUUGUUCCUUGCAUCCGCCAUCCUAAAGAAUAGAAAGGAUGAGGAGUCAGAAAAUGAGAAGAGAGUAGCAUUCUAGGGCUUUUGCUUAGUGGUCGUGUCCUACAGUCAGCGUCUGCUCUGAUACCAUCUUUGUAGCGACCAGACCUCAAACAGUCUGAUCUCUGUGCUCAGGUGUCAUCCCUAGAUCAGUAAUGUUGACACCACACAAUACUUGAAGGAUUUAUAACAGAGUAGCAAUCACACACUUAUUACAUUGAAUGUCUCAAGAGAGAACUUAUUAAAAUAAAUAUGGCUUAGGGCCAUCUAAUAACGAUAACAGCGGAAGACUUGGAAGAUAAGCGAGUCCAUCAACUCCAACGGCAUCACUGAGUAUAGAACCAGGACCUAAAGGCACCUUACUCGUCGUCUGGAAAGUCUGCAACAUGAAACGUUGCAGCCCGAAAACGGGUCAGCACAUGGAAUAUGCUGGCAAUGUAACACAUAGAGAAAUACGAUGGAAUAAGCUAUACUACAUGCAUAUUUGGCUGGUGGAAAGCUCUAUGGUUACAGUUUUGUGUAAAGCCAAUUUUUCCCUACUGCAAAGAAAUAAAUUUAUUUAACUAUCAUGGUGGUUGUUAAACAUUGAGAAUGGUUGACAGCAUUCUCAAUCCCAAUUAAGCAUCAUCAUUAAACCCAACAAAAUUAAUUAAAGUAACAUGAUGAGAUUCACAUGAUAUCCAAGUACUAGAUACUCUAGAUGUACAUAACCGGGGACACGGCUAACCAUGAUUAGUUUGUUACACUCUGCAGAGGUUUGCGCACUUUUCCCCACAUGACUCGAUCUCCUCCGUUUGAUUUCUCGCACUUCAUAGUGUUAGAGAAACGGAUGACCUAGACAUAGUCUUUCAGAAGUGCUAGCACCUUACGAUGGGUAGACCGUACCAACCUACAUCCCCUACAUCUUCUAGUCUACCACUGUAAGAGUUCGCACGACUUAGUCAACUAUGCUAGAGCCCAUAAUAGCAUGUGGCUGCACACGUAAGUUUCUAGCAUGAAUAAUCUUAUGAUCCCUUUGAGCCUGGGUGGCGGUCCAAAAACAAACAGGCAAUCCUGGAAUACCCAGGUACCUCAAUCCACCCAGAUGUGUAUUAAAGUUGCCACCUUAAAUAAACCAUUAAAUUAACAAUCUCACAUCUGUCAUGGAUACACUCACCCAAUCUACGUCUACUAGCAUAGCAUGGUAUAAUAAGCAAACGUAGAAGUAACUCACAAAGGUUUGAAAAUAAAACAGGUAAUAGGUACUACCUCAACUACUUCCCAAAACCCACAAAUUAAUUAGAUCCUAAUCAUGCAAUGUUUGAGGAUUGAUCUAAUGCAUAAAAACUGGGUAUGAGAAAGGAAUGAUCAAAGUGUUACUUGCCUUGCUGAUGAUCCGCGAAACCUAGAGAUUCGAAAUAACAGGCGGCGCACUCUGGGUAUUCUAUCGCAGACAAACAAACAAGCAUACAAUAAGUACUCAUCUAAUGCACAGGUAAAACUCAAGUAAGAGAUCUAACCAGAAAGUUCAACUUAAGAACUCCAUUUGCAAAAGAAAACAAAUCGAACGAAGAUACGAAAGUCAAACGGCGAAGAAAACAACUUCGUUUUACUAAUCUGGAUCUAAGUCAAUUUUUACAGUAGCAAAAACUUGUUCAAGUUGGUAAUUUGGAAAGAGGGUUUCGAGGCGAAACUCCAGGCGCUUGAAUCACCUGAUUCCGAUAAACGAGGGAAAAGUUAUACCAGAACGAAAAUCGGAUCAGAAACCGCGAUCAGAAAAUCGCGGAUUAAAUCCGAGAAAAAGAAAAACGACGAACAGCUUAACGAACGAACGUUCGUUAACUGGAUCUAAACGACGAACACGUUCGUUAAAACGAACGAACGAGCGAACGCUCGCUAUUUAACCGAACCAAAAAAACUGAUCUAAUAAAAAAACGGAAACAAAAAAAACCGGCGAAAAACAGAACGGUUUUUCGAGAAAACCGGCGGCGCGGAAAUCGAGGCACCUCGGGCGGCGGCGGCUGACGGCGGCGCGCGGGUGGCGGCGGCGGCGCGGGGAUCAAGGCGGCGGCGCGGCUAGGGUUUGGGCGGCGGUGGGCUGGCAGGGCGGGCUGGCAGCUCGGGCGGCGCUUUAUAUAGGCUGCCCCCAGGCGGAGUCCCGCUCGUGUACGGCCCGUAGGUCGGUUCGUUUUUUUUAAAUAACUUCGCGUAGAAAAUCAAACGAAAGAAAUACUAAACGGACUCCAAAAAUCCCGAAAUAAAUUUUCCCCGACUUCUAAAAUCAAGCCGGGCAAGAUGAACAUUUAUUUGGGGCGAAAAUGCAAUUUUGGAAAACGCAUAUUUUUCCUAAAUUCAAAUAAAAUAACGAAAAACUCCGAAAUAAAAUCCUAUUUGAUUUUAUUAUUAAAUCCUCAAUAUUUCUUUAUUUUGGGAAAGUCAUUUUAUUCCCUCUCUCAUAUUUUUGUAAUAGAAAUAAUUGAUGAUAAAAUAAAUAAAAUCAAAUGAUCCUAUUCCAAAAUUUGAGAAAACUCAAAUAUGAAAAUAACAAAAUCCCCAACUCUCUCCGUGGGUCCUUGAGUUGCGUAGAAUUUCUAGGAUCAAAACCAAAAGCAAAAAAAAAUAUGAUAUGCAUGGAUGGUCUAAUGUAUAACAUUCCAAAUUAAAAAUUUGGGAUGUUACAAUUCCAUAGCCACAAAGAGAGACAAGACCAACGGAGAAGUCGAAAGGCGUAUCGUCUCGCAGCUGCUCACUCUCAUGGAUGGCCUCAAAGCCCGUGCACAUGUUAUUGACAUGGGUGCUACCAACCGCCCGAACAUCAUCGACCCUGCUCUCAGAAGGUUUGGCAGGUUUGACCGGGAGAUCGACAUUGGAGUCCCCGAUGAAGUUGGGCGGCUUGAGGUUCUCCGGAUUCACACCAAAAACAUGAAGCUAGCUGAAGAUGUUGAACUAGAGCAUGUCUCAAGGGACACUCAUGGGUAUGUCGGCGCUGAUCUCGCCGCCCUUUGUACCGAGGCUGCUCUCCAGUGCAUUCGCGAGAAGAUGGAUGUUAUCGACCUCGAGGAUGACACCAUUGAUGCUGAGAUACUGAAUUCUAUGGCUGUCAUGAAUGACCAUUUCAAGAUUGCACUGGGCACAAGCAACCCUUCCGCUCUUCAUGAAACUGUCGUGGAAGUUCCAAAUGUCUCUUGGGAAGACGUUGGUGGUCUGGAGGGUGUCAAAAGGGAGCUGCAGGAGACCGUCCAGUAUCCGGUGGAAUACCCAGAGAAGUUUGAGAAGUUUGGCAUGUCUCCCUCCAAAGGUGUUCUGUUCUACGGCCCUCCGGGCUGCGGCAAGACCUUGUUGGCCAAGGCGAUUGCUAACGAGUGCCAGGCUAACUUCAUCAGCAUCAAAGGACCGGAGCUGCUUACCAUGUGGUUUGGUGAGAGCGACGCCAAUGUGCGUGAGAUUUUCGACAAGGCCAGGGGGUCGGCACCAUGUGUCCUCUUCUUCGAUGAGCUCGACUCGAUUGCCACGCAGAGAGGAAGCAGUGUAGGCGAUGCCGCUGAUAGGGUGCUGAAUCAGCUUCUCACCAAGAUGGACGGAAUGAAUGCCAAGAAAACCGUGUUCAUCAUCGGUGCCACCAACAGGCCAGACAUCAUAGACCCUACCUUGCUGAGGCCUGGGCGCCUUUAUCAGCUUAUCUACAUUCCUCUCCCCGACAUUGAAUCCAGGCUCCAGAUCUUCAGGGCCUGCCUUAGGAAGUCUCCUGUGGCCAAGGAUGUCGACCUGAAUGCGCUCGCCAAAUACACACAAGGGUUCAGCGGCGCGGACAUCACGGAAAUCUGCCAGCGUGCGUGCAAAUAUGCCAUCAGAGAAAACAUUGAGAAGGACAUGGAAAAGGAGAGGCGACUGAAGGAAAACCCUGAAGCCAUGGAGGAAGACGAGAUGGAUGAGAUCAAGGCUGCUCACUUCGAGGAGAGCAUGAGGUAUGCACGCCGGAGUGUGACCGAUGCUGAUAUUCGCAAAUACCAUACCUUUGCUCAGACACUGCAGCAGUCCCGUGGUAUUGGCAGCGAGUUCCGGUUCCCUGACCAGCCGGCGGCGGGUGCUACAGCUGCGGCCAAUCCUUUCGCGGCCGCUGCCACUGCAGCUGAAGUAGAUGAUUUGUACAGUUAAAUCAUGUGUUGUCUCUUGAACUUACUGUAUUAUAUUAGGAGUAUGCAUCUGUAAGAGAUAGGAAGAUCAUGUAACUAUAUUUUUACGUGCAGUGUUGUGAUGUGUAUAUACGCUAAAGUUUGAAGAUUGUAUCCUCCACCUAAAAGAAAGAAAAAAGCAUUUCCUCUCGACUCCUAUUCCAGUUUGUGUGCCAAGGAUAUAUCCAUUGGCCUGUGGUAAAGCUCUGUUGUUCUGUACAUGCCCUAUCAAAGGGUAAUAGCAAUUUAGCAUUAUACGCGAUGCCAUUUUUCUCUUUGAAAUGUACUAAUUCGAUUCCUUCUCCUACCUAAUAAAUCUUCUGUCAUAUAAUGCUAAAUAAAACUUCUGUCGUACUACACAUUUUGUUGUUGCAAAUGAUUACCUCUACUGAGAAGUAAGAAAUACCCCAGCCUCUCUCAAUGUUGGCAAAUUAGUUCAGCAUUACCUAAAAGUCUCUACAAUGCUCGAGUAUCAAAUUUUUGGAUUCUCUGAAAAAGUAACCAAAAUAAUUUGCAAGGCAGUAGAUUAUUCAUGUUGGUAUUAAUUAGUUAGUUAUUCACAUAAGAUCCUUUGGUAUCUGCUGUUGCAUCAGCGGAAGAAGACGAUGAUUUAUACUACAGUUGAAUUUUCUGUUCUGCCAUGAACUUACUCUUAAGAAACACAAACCUCUGAUGACCUAUUGUCUAGUGUCCACGAGUAGAGUCCAAUCAGUGUGCCAGGUAUUGGCAUGUGGUAAUUGUUGUCCCUGUAGAUAGUACCUUUGCUGCUCCCUUAGGACAUCUCCAGCCGCGCCCCCAGGAAGGCCUCCCCAGACGAUUUUUUCGCGCCGGCGCCAAAAAAACGGCCCAGUCGCGCCCCCAGGAGCCCAAUUUUCGCCGGCUUGGGCCGAAAACAGCGCCGGUGGACCCAGCCCAAACCCGGCACGCUGGGGGGGCGCCCGGGGGCGCCGGGGCGAGCUGUUUUGGCGCGAAAAAGACGCGGGCCAGCUGCGUCAGCGACUCGGCGCCUCGUCUUCCCCCAACGGCCUCGGUUCCCGCGGGGAAUCAAUGGCAAGGCUGCCGCCGGUUAGCCUUGCCAUUGAUUCCUCACGGGCGGCGCUUCACGGGACGGCGCGCCGACGCCUCCCCUCCCUCGCACGCGUACACAUGGGCGCGGCCCGGCUAUAAAAGCCGGCGCCCUCCACUCGCCUGUGCCCACACCAGCCCCGCCCCUCGCCGCCGUCCAGCCCCUCCCUCUCCCUGCCUCUCCCGAGCGCCGCCGCCCAACCUCUCCCGAGCCCGCCUAGCCCCGCCGUCGCCAUGGCAAAGCGCUUCCCCGGAGACGAGGCGGCGGCCAACGGCUUCGGCCGCCGUUCGCUCCGCGAACAGGAGUCCUGGCUCCUGUUCCAGGCGAACAUCCCGGCGUCGCCGGACAUGCGCGCCGAGCCGACGGGGUGGAGACUCAGCGCCGGGGGAGUGCCCAUUCCCCCGUUGCCCGACGCCGUGGCGAAGCCGAAGUACUUCGCCGAGGAGGUCGAGAUUGUGCGCGCGUCCCUCACCGACGCCCAACUCUCCCUCCCACAGUACGCCGCCGACAACCACGCGGCCUGGGCGGCGUAUUUCGAGCGCCGCUAGCAGCAGCGAUUCGCGUCCACCAAUGGCGCGCCGGUGGUCGGCGGCCGGCAGAACAGCGAGGGGCGCCACCUCUGGUGGGGCAUCCCCGACCGCACACUCGAGGGCAUGCUCACGUACCUCGAGGGCGGAAACGACCCGCCGUUGGCGUACCCCCCGGCGCAGCACCGACGCGUCGGGCCAUGGGCGCCAAGGAGGUUCGGGUCCUCCUCCUCCUCUUCCUCCUCCCGAUCCUCAUCGCACUCCUCCGACACUCUGGCCCUGCUCGGCAUCAAGGCCGAGCCCGCGGCGGAGUCGCUGCUUGGCCGGCGCACUUGCAGCGCAUGCAUCGUCAUCAACGAGGGCGGCCGGCGCGCCUCCUCCUCGUCGGCUCCUCCGCGCUUCGUCAAGCCAAAGACGGAGCCGGGGCUGGCGCCGGUGAAGACGGAGCCGGGGCUGGCGCCGGUGAAGGCGGAGUUCGACGAUGACGACGCAGCCCUAGAAUGGGCGCGCCAGGACUCCAUUGCGAUGGAGAAGGCGCGCCGGGAGAAGGCGAAGGAGCGCCAGUGCGCCGCCCUGCGCUGCUUCGAGGAGCGCCGACGCGGCCGCGAUGAAGACGGGGUCGUCGUCCUAUGCGACAGUGGCAACGACGAUGACGACGCACCGCCGCCAGUCCGCCAUGGCGACGCUGGGUCCAGCAGGGGCGCCCGCGUCAAGGAGGAGAAGGCCGACGACGACGAUGGCGGCGACGACUUCAGCCCCUUUCUUUUUUAGAUUAGGUUAAUGUAAUGAAAAUGCGCGAAUGUCACCGAAAUUUGCCAUGUUUAGCCGAAAUUUAACUACUUUUUUAUCAUAACUUCGCGAACGACCCUUUUUUAAUACGCGCAUGGGGGCGGCCCUGGGGGCCGAGGGCUGGGGAGCGACUCGCCCCCAGGGCCAUUUUUUGCACCGGCUCACCCCCAGGCAGCGCUUUUAGACGCCCCCUGGGGGGCCAAUGGCUGGAGAUGCCCUUAGAUGCUCAGUAUUGGCCUGUUGCACAUGUUAUUCUUAUGUCACUUCUCCAAAGCGGCUUGGUUUUCACAUCCUUGGUACAUCAGAACUGAAAUGUUAGCUGCCACACAUCAAACUAUACCCAAUAUGAUACAGUAUUUGCUUUCUUCCAAUCACCCUCACAUUUCAACUAUUAAUCUCUAUACUUUUCUCUGGUGUUUAUGGAAAGUGAGAAAUGACUAUUUAUUUAAUUGCAAGAACAUUAAGCCAGAGCAAGUUUUUGUUGUGUACAAUGCUGUUAUGCAGGACACAGACACUUCACUGAUGAAGGAGUUACAUGUUCAUGAUUCAACUUGGAAGGGACAUCACGGUCAGCCAGAACAGCUAAAGCUUUCUACUGUUCUUACUUCUCAGUCUACAAUAGAUUUUCCAGGUACACACAUAUACUCAGAUGCAACUUGGUCGUUGGAGCAGGACAAGCUGCAGCAAAGGCGGGUAUAGGUGUUUUUCUACAAAUUAACGGGCAACAUACCGACCAUCUAUACAUCUCUGCUGUGUCGCCACCAGUAGCAUCAGCUUUGCAGGCAGAAGCUUAUGGACUGCUGUUGGCGGUGAAGAUUGCAGCUCAACUACAUGUGCAGGAUCCGAAGUUUUUGACAGACUCUGAAGUGCUUGCCUCAGCGGUUGUACAACCUAAUAUUAGUAAAGCAGGUCCGUGGGCUAUCCGGCCAAUCUUAGCUUCUAUCCAGACCACGCCUUCAUUUCAUCCAUAUAGAAUACUCAAAGUGCACAGAAGUCUGAAUUUCAAGGCACACCAUCAGGCUAGACUUGCUGUCAAAGUGCAAGAUAAACCUUUUAGCUCUACUUGCCUACAUUCAGAUCAAGGUUUAGGUACUAAUUUGGAACGAUGUCCUACCUGUAAUGAGCUAUCAGCAAUGAGUGCUCAGCCACUCGAGUUGCUAUUUGUAAAGUGUGCUUAAUGCCAUAUUAAUGAAAUCCUUCUGUUAAAAAAAACAUUGCUCCACCAUUUCUGAUGUGUGGGUGGGAUGACCAUGCUCUCAAGCUUUAACUUUGGAAGGACUUUUACCCCAGCUGUGAUGGAUUUUUGGUAUGAGGUAGAGCAGAUUGCCUCCAGCAUUAACAAGGUCAAGGGCAUGGCUGCCCAAAAAUAUCUGGCAAUAUACCGACAGCGGAUUUACUCAACCAGCCCACUCUAGAAAAAUUAUUAAAUACAUGCUCCUUCAGAAGUUGAGAUUUUCCUCUGGCUAGUAAGUAGUAUCUCAUAACAAAAUGAUGGCCAUGAACAAUCUGAGAAGGGGAAAAAUGAAUAAAGUAGCAGAGGAUCGUGCCUUCUGUUCAGAAAAAGAAAUUGUGCAUCUAUCACCUACAAACCUUUUCCUAUUUCUGUCGUUCCUACAUUCCUACGGCAUUUUAUCCUCUAUUCCAAACAGGGCCUUAGAUAUGUUUUCUCUGCUAGCUUACAUUCAAAUAGUUGUGCUAUCUGAUCGGCCUAUUAACCAACUGUGUUGCUGAAAACUCCCAUCCAUGACUUUUUCUGUAUCUCCACAAUUUGGUGCUUGUUUUGCUGUCAUCCUGAU
rnacentral:lncRNA from 1 species